GACUCGACAGGAGACCUGGGAGGACUCGGACCUGUUUAAAUCUCAGCCGGCCUCUGACGUCGACGCCUUGGGGAAGAAGCGUUACGUAGCGCCUCACGUCGUCUACCAGACGGGGAAGAAACCAGAUGAGCCUUGCUCCAUCACGUCUUCCCUCAACUACUUCCCCGGAGACGAACCGGGAGAGACGAACGUGACGGCUCCGCCUAGGUCUCCUCCGUCCAACCUCACCGUGGUGACUGUGGAGGGAUGCCCGUCCUUCGUCAUCCUGGACUGGGAGAAAACUGACAACGACACAACCGAGUACGAGGUCAUCUCCACUGCUAAGGGACCCGACGGUGAGCAGGUCUCC